GUAGUCCACGCCCUAAACGAUGGAUACUAGGCGUAAGAGGUAUCGACCCCUCUUGUGCCGCAGCUAACGCAUUAAGUAUCCCGCCUGGGGAGUACGGCCGCAAGGUUGAAACUCAAAUGAAUUGACGGGGACCCGCACAAGCGGUGGAGCAUGUGGAUUAAUUCGAUACUAACCGAAGAACCUUACCCAGACUUGACAUCGAUCGCAAGCCCUUGAAAGAGGGCCCUCUCCCACAAGGAGACGUGAAGACACUUGUUGCAUGGCUGUCGUCAGCUCGUGCCGUGAGGUGUACGGUUAAGUCCGCCAACGAGCGCAACCCUCGUCCUGUGUUACCAGCAUGAAAGAUGGGAACUCACAGGAGACCGCCGGUGUAAAUCGGA
rnacentral:rRNA from 1 species